AGCAAGCAACUCCUAUCCCUACCUCCGCGUGGUACCGGCCGGAAACUAUGAGCAACCUUAGGGAAGAUUGGGUAACCAACCCCGGUGGGAACUUCGGCGGUAGGCUGACAGGGAAGG
rnacentral:ribozyme from 1 species